rnacentral:rRNA from 1 species
UACGGGGGGAGCAAGCGUUGUUCGGAUUUACUGGGCGUAAAGGGCGCGUAGGCGGUCAGCACAAGUCAGUUGUGAAAUCUCCGGGCUUAACUCGGAAAGGUCAACUGAUACUGUGCGACUAGAGUGCGGAAGGGGCAACUGGAAUUCUCGGUGUAGCGGUGAAAUGCGUAGAUAUCGAGAGGAACACCUGCGGCGAAGGCGGGUUGCUGGGCCGGUACUGACGCUGAGGCGCGAAAGCGUGGGGAGCAAACAGG